rnacentral:rRNA from 1 species
GACGAACGCUGGCGGCGUGCUUAACACAUGCAAGUCGAACGGAAAGGCCCUGCUUUUGUGGGGUGCUCGAGUGGCGAACGGGUGAGUAACACGUGAGUAACCUGCCCUUGACUUUGGGAUAACUUCAGGAAACUGGGGCUAAUACCGGAUAUUAGCUCCUGCUGCAUGGUGGGGGUUGGAAAGUUUCGGCGGUUGGGGAUGGACUCGCGGCUUAUCAGCUUGUUGGUGGGGUAGUGGCUUACCAAGGCUCUGACGGGUAGCCGGCCUGAGAGGGUGACCGGCCACAUUGGGACUGAGAUACGGCCCAGACGCCGACGGGAGGCAGCAGUGGGGAAUAGUGCACAAUGGGCGGAAGCCUGAUGCAGCAACGCCGCGUGCGGGAUGACGGCCUUCGGGUUGUAAACCGCUUUCGCCUGUGACGAAGCGUGAGUGACGGUAAUGGGUAAAGAAGCACCGGCUAACUACGUG